rnacentral:sRNA from 1 species
GCCAGGCAUGGUGGUGCACACCUGUAAUCUUAGCAACUUGGGAGGCUGAGGCAGGAGGAUUGCAAGUUCAAAGCCAGCCUCAGAAACUUAGUGAAACCCUGUCUCAG